rnacentral:rRNA from 1 species
GAGUUUGAUCCUGGCUCAGAAUCAACGCUGGCGGCGCGCCUAACACAUGCAAGUCGAACGAGAAAGUGGAGCAAUCCAUGAGUACAGUGGCGUACGGGUGAGUAACACGUGGGUGAUCUACCUCUUAGUGGGGAAUAACCCUGGGAAACCGGGGCUAAUACCGCAUAAGCCCGAGAGGGGAAAGCAGCAAUGCGCUGAGAGAGGAGCCCGCGGCCGAUUAGCUAGUUGGUGAGGUAAAAGCCCACCAAGGCGGAGAUCGGUAGCCGGCCUGAGAGGGCACACGGCCACACUGGCACUGAAACACGGGCCAGACUCCUACGGGAGGCAGCAGUGGGGAAUCUUGCACAAUGGGGGAAACCCUGAUGCAGCGACGCCGCGUGAGCGAUGAAGCCCUUCGGGGUGUAAAGCUCUUUCGGCAGGGAAGAUGAUGACGGUACCUGCAGAAGCAGCUGCGGCUAACUACGUGCCGGCAGCCGCGGUAAUACGUAGGCAGCGAGCGUUGUUCGGAGUUACUGGGCGUAAAGAGUGUGUAGGCGGUUCUCCAAGUUCGGUGUGAAAUCUCCCGGCUCAACUGGGAGGGUGCGCCGAAAACUGGAGGGCUUGAGUAUGGGAGAGGAAAGCGGAAUUCCUGGUGUAGCGGUGAAAUGCGUAGAUAUCAGGAGGAACACCUGCGGUGUAGACAGCUUUCUGGACCAUCACUGACGCUGAGACACGAAAGCGUGGGUAGCAAACAGGAUUAGAUACCCUGGUAGUCCACGCCCUAAACGAUGCAUACUUGGUGUGAGCCGUUCAUUCGGUUCGUGCCGGAGCUAACGCGUUAAGUAUGCCGCCUGGGGAGUACGGUCGCAAGGCUGAAACUCAAAGGAAGUGACGGGACCCGCACAAGCGGUGGAUGAUGUGGAUUAAUUCGAUGCAACGCGAACAACCUUACCUACCCUUGACAUGUCCGGAACCCUGCUGAGAGGUGGGGGUGCCCGAAAGGGAAUCGGAACACAGGUGCUGCAUGGCUGUCGUCAGCUCGUGUCGUGAGAUGUUGGGUUAAGUCCCGCAACGAGCGCAACCCUUAUCCCUAGUUGCUACGCAAGGGCACUCUAGGGAGACUGCCGGUGACAAACCGGAGGAAGGUGGGGAUGACGUCAAGUCCUCAUGGCCCUUAUGGGUAGGGCUUCACACGUCAUACAAUGGCCGGUACAGAGGGUAGCCAACCCGCGAGGGGGAGCCAAUCCCAGAAAGCCGGUCGUAGUCCGGAUUGCAGUCUGCAACUCGACUGCAUGAAGUCGGAAUCGCUAGAAUCGCGGAUCAGCAGCCCGAA